rnacentral:rRNA from 1 species
UUAGAGUUUGAUCCUGGCUCAGGAUGAACGCUGGCGGCGUGCCUAAUACAUGCAAGUCGAACGCACAGCGAAAGGUGCUUGCACCUUUCAAGUGAGUGGCGAACGGGUGAGUAACACGUGGAUAACCUACCUCAAGGUUGGGGAUAACAUUUGGAAACAGAUGCUAAUACCGAAUAAAACUUAGUAUCGCAUGAUACCAGGUUAAAAGGCGCUACGGCGUCACCUAGAGAUGGAUCCGCGGUGCAUUAGUUAGUUGGUGGGGUAAAGGCUUACCAAGACAAUGAUGCAUAGCCGAGUUGAGAGACUGAUCGGCCACAUUGGGACUGAGACACGGCCCAAACUCCUACGGGAGGCUGCAGUAGGGAAUCUUCCACAAUGGGCGAAAGCCUGAUGGAGCAACGCCGCGUGUGUGAUGAAGGCUUUCGGGUCGUAAAGCACUGUUGUAUGGGAAGAACAGCUAGAGUAGGGAAUGACUUUAGUUUGACGGUACCAUACCAGAAAGGGACGGCUAAAUACGUGCCAGCAGCCGCGGUAAUACGUAUGUCCCGAGCGUUAUCCGGAUUUAUUGGGCGUAAAGCGAGCGCAGACGGUUAAUUAAGUCUGAUGUGAAAGCCCGGAGCUCAACUCCGGAAAGGCAUUGGAAACUGGUUAACUUGAGUGCAGUAGAGGUAAGUGGAACUCCAUGUGUAGCGGUGGAAUGCGUAGAUAUAUGGAAGAACACCAGCGGCGAAGGCGGCUUACUGGACUGUAACUGACGUUGAGGCUCGAAAGUGUGGGUAGCAAACAGGAUUAGAUACCCUGGUAGUCCACACCGUAAACGAUGAACACUAGGU